rnacentral:rRNA from 1 species
UACGUAGGGGGCAAGCGUUGUCCGGAAUUAUUGGGCGUAAAGAGCUCGUAGGCGGUUUGUUGCGUCGGCUGUGAAAUCCCGAGGCUCAACCUCGGGUCUGCAGUCGAUACGAGCAAACUAGAGUGUUGCAGGGGAGACUGGAAUUCCUGGUGUAGCGGUGAAAUGCGCAGAGAUGCGGAGGAACACCGAUGGCGAAGGCAGCCCCCUGGGCCAAUACUGACGCUCAGGCACGAAAGCGUGGGGAGCAAACAGG